rnacentral:rRNA from 1 species
AUUGAACGCUGGCGGCAGGCCUGACACAUGCAAGUCGGACGGUAGCACAGAGGAGCUUGCUCCUCGGGUGACGAGUGGCGGACGGGUGAGUAAUGUCUGGGGAUCUGCCCGAUAGAGGGGGAUAACCACUGGAAACGGUGGCUAAUACCGCAUAACGUCGCAAGACCAAAGAGGGGGACCUUCGGGCCUCUCACUAUCGGAUGAACCCAGAUGGGAUUAACUAGUAGGCGGGGUAACGGCCCACCUAGGCGACGAUCCCUAGCUGGUCUGAGAGGAUGACCAGCCACGCGGGAACUGAGACACGGUCCAGACUCCUACGGGAGGCAGCAGUGGGGAAUAUUGCACAAUGGGCGCAAGCCUGAUGCAGCCAUGCCGCGUGUAUGAAGAAGGCCUCCGGGUUGUAAAGUACUUUCAGCGGGGAGGAAGGCGAUGUGGUUAAUAACCGCAUUGAUUGUCGUUACCCGCAGAAGAAGCACCGGCUAACUCCGUGCCAGCCGCCGCGGUAA